UCUAAAUACAUUAUAGAUCUAGAAGACUAGAAGUGACCUUUUGUCAGUUUACAGAAUAAGUUGACAGUGAAAGGUCUAGUAGCAUCCCUACAGCUGUAGUAGCUCUAUGCCCUAUACUGGUAGUGAGUCUGAUACUGAAAGACAGCUAUAAAUUUAUCUUGUAAAGCCAAGUUUCGCUUGCCACCCCCCUUUAUUGAAGGGCGGGGCAAUUUAUACAAAGCCACUAAACAGCAUUUCAUCUCAUUUCCAUGUUUUGUACAUCGUUUAUACUGAAAAUCAUCAUUAAAUACGGAAAAAUGAGCUGAUUAAUACUGAAAAGAAAAGUCUCUACUUGAGGCUCUGCUCUAGUCUAUAUAGCUGAACGAAAUGAUGCAGUAUGGUGCUCUUUCAGAAGGAGAUAUUAUUAUGUGUGAGGUAGGAGGACUAUUGACGAGAACCCUGUGGCCAAAGGGCUGGCCGUGCAUUGUAGUAGCAAGUCAGGAGAGCCGAGCCUUUCCCAAUUCUAUUCUCGAAGGAGUUAAUUACGACUGAUUUUCAGAAUACCUGCUUAGCUUUUGGAUUAUUAAGAUAUGCUGUACUGCCAUUGCUGAAUGCCACUGAAAGGAUGAUUACAGAUGUUGUCUAAGCUGUCCCGAAAUGCUUUCCCAUAUACAGUGAUAACGAUCCUCGAUAUAAGCGAAUUGUAUUUUGUUUUGCUGGGCAUGGAGACAAUAAUGUUCAAGUUCAUACACUGUGAUGGAGAAAUUAAUGUAAUUAGGAAAAUUAUUUGGCCUCUCUUGCCAGAAAACUGUCCAAACUUGAGGCACAUACCGAAAUUAUUUUUCAUUGAUUCCUGUCGUGGUGAAGGUACGGAUAUGGCCAUACCUAGAGGAGGGGGUAAUGUAUUUUCCCGUGUGUCAGGUAUGGCUAACUACCUUGUUGUGCGGUCAACUUUGCCGACUAUAUGAAAGCGUUUGAGCAAAGCAAUCGUCGUGGAGGUUUUGGACUCCAGCAUUUGUAGUCUAAUUAAAGAGCAGUUUAUUAGUCCAACCAAUAAAGGAAAAACAUUGGGUACAUUCUCAUUGAGAUAAAUCGUCAGGUGAAUAGGUUAUUCAACUCCCAAAAUAUUCUAAGAGCACACUCCUUGCCCGGAUCACGUCUUCUGCCUGGAUGAAGCUCAGGAGCUUGAAGAAUUGACAAGUACAGGAUACACUUGGAGCUGUUGUCAGCCUUCUAUAACUUUUUUGCCUGGUGAGUGUUAAUUACCUUUAUACUGUUUUAAGGAUUUAAAUGUCAGUGCAUGAGCAUACAUACUUACGUGAUCGUACAGUGCAUUAAUAGAUAAUUUCAUACACAUGUAGAUCCGCAUUUAGCUGGCUCCAUUCCUGGUGCAUUACAACCUCCAGCAUUUUACAGACGUAUUUAUACGACAUAUACCUCUGUUAAAUGCUGGAAGUUAGGUUAUUUAUAAAAAAUAAAAAUUAUAGGAAAUACUUUUAUAGUUAUUGAUAAGACUGGAUCAAAGGCCGGUAUAUCUGGAGAUUAAUUAAGUGCAUGUUUCCGGUCCAUUUAAUCCUGCUAGGUCUACAGCCUCAGAACUGCCUACUUCCUUCUCUACCAGCAAGAGUUAUACUGAGUGCUAAAUCCCAAAUUGUUACCCGAGGCGCGCGUGGGCGGCCACGGGUAUAGUACUCGUCUGGUCUGUUUGUUUAUUUGUGAUAGCCUAUUCUACUUACCUGGACGCCAUAGCACUGCGUUUACAGCAUGGAUAGUCUUCACACAACGAGAUCUUGGUUUAAGUAGUGGCAGAUAUUUUGACGUUAAAGCUUCAUUGUUGAAUAAAAGCUAAGAAGCUUGAACGUUGGCAGCUACUAACUACACGCCGAGGUACCCUACGUAUUUACAACUGAAGUGAUCCCGUACCAGGAACAAUGGUCAACCGGAACAAUGGCAAAGGGUAACUACAAUAGAAAGCUAGAAUUGUGACUGGCUCUGUUAGCUGACUCUGCAUAGGAUCUUACUGCCAUACUUCUCAAGACUCCAGGCUUCUUUUCUGUGAUCCUAGACUAGAACCUAUAGUCCACAGUGCAUAUCUCAUGUACCACUAAAACUCUGUUCUCAUGUUUCAGCGUGGCCUUCAGUCUGGUUUAGUUUUAUUCAGCUCCUGAGUUGCUGUGCUAGACAGCUCAGUCAUACAUCACUGCAUUAUUGUCAUGCAUGCACUGCAUUAUAUCACUCUUCUAGUUUUUUAAUCAUGUCACCAGCCGAGGGUUUGCACUUUAGUGCUCUAGUUAGUACAGCAGUAGCAAGUGGAACCUCUGAAGUAGUAAAUCCUUUGGCACUACUAUCAGACCUAGUGUCCCAGCCUGAUGCUAUACAAGAUGUCAUGUCACAAUUACAGGAAGGUACGUUUACUAAAGUUAUUCUUUCCCUCCACCCAUUUUAUUAUAUUAAAUAGCACAGCAAUUAAUACAAAGCUUAUACACAUUCAUGCCCAAUUAAUCAGUUUAGUCUUCUGCAUAGAUUACUAUAAUAGUUAGCAGAAACAAAAUAAUUACCUUAAGGUGACAUAUUUUCACAGGUAGAUUUGUUUGCGUUUUCACUGUUUAGCUCAUUUUGCUGGUAUUAAAUUCUGCGUUCAAGUUGUGAAAUUAAUGUUAUUCAUAGUACUCGUAAGUGGUUUUAAUGAGAUUCAUUCCAUUUUCCAAUUAUUUGCGAUUUACUCUCCUUCGCAGAAAUAGCAGAAAUUAAUACUCGCGAAAAUACGUCACCUUAAAGUAUACUGGCACACAACAGACUACUAUAUCUUGUGGCCGCCUAUAUGUGGGUUAAACAAUUGAGCAUGCUCACUAUAAAAGGGUAUGCCCAGGACAGCUCCGACCGGAAGCAACCAAAAAAUGACAAAAUGGCAACAAUGAAUUUUCUUGAGUCUUGCAAAAAGACGCCCUUGACAGUAAUAAUGUUUUAGAUUCUUACAUUCUUCUUUUGAUAUGCUUUCUUCCGCUCUCUCACGCUCUCUCACGAGAUAGUAGACACAAACUAAAAACAAAAAAUGGCUAUCAAAAGCAAGAAGUCAGUUCUCAACCUCAAAAGAAGCCUACUGGGGUUCCACAGGAGCUAAAGCUCGACUGAAGAUACCAAGCUAGAUAAAUUGACAGUGGUAAGUGUUAAUUGUCUUGCUGCCCGAGGUUCAUUGGCCCAACAUGAGGAUCUGACAAACUGAUGUUGUUGUUGAAGAUGUGGACAUAAUGUAAAGGUGUUUUCUGUAAUGAAGAGGAGAGUUGAAAGUCUGUAAGGAACAUCUAUAGUGGGUUCGGGUAUCGUUCAAGCACCUCCUAAAGAACGGAAAUUGAUUGUACUAGUAUUUUUAUCUGCAUGGAAUCAAGCCACCUCGUUAUUGCUGCCAAACUGCACUGUUCCAAGAAUAUGGAUAAUUUGAAAAGAAGUUAUACAAGUUAACUAACCAUUGGGCAUGGAGUGGUUUAAUCACUGAAAGACGAAAGUCAACUUCAACAUCUUCAAGAUUCAUUUCAGAGUCUAGUUGCUUACUAACAGCAUCAGAAUAAUACGUGACAAAUUCCUUUUUCAUAAACUGAACUAGUACUAUACUGUACGUACAUAUACAUGUAUUAUAUUUGUUGUACUAGACCUAUAAUGAUAGCUAAUAGACUACUUCCAUUUAAACGAA